CCUACGGGUGGCAGCAGUGAGGAAUAUUGGUCAAUGGACGCAAGUCUGAACCAGCCAUGCCGCGUGCAGGAAGACGGCUCUAUGAGUUGUAAACUGCUUUUGUCGGGGAGCAAAGCGAGUCACGUGUGACUCAUUGAGAGUACCCGAAGAAAAAGCAUCGGCUAACUCCGUGCCAGCAGCCGCGGUAAUACGGAGGAUGCGAGCGUUAUCCGGAUUUAUUGGGUUUAAAGGGUGCGCAGGCGGAGGUGCAAGUCAGCGGUCAAAUUGCGGGGCUCAACCCCGUACUGCCGUUGAAACUGCAUCCCUUGAGUGCGCGAGAAGUAUGCGGAAUGCGUGGUGUAGCGGUGAAAUGCAUAGAUAUCACGCAGAACUCCGAUUGCGAAGGCAGCAUACCGGCGCGCAACUGACGCUCAUGCACGAAAGCGUGGGUAUCGAACAGGAUUAGAUACUCCAGUAGUC
rnacentral:rRNA from 1 species